rnacentral:piRNA from 1 species
GAGCUCAGAAGUGCCACAUGGCUGAGGGGA